ensembl:lncRNA LINC00499 long intergenic non-protein coding RNA 499
AUAUAACUGGAACUCUGGGAAUGUAACGGGCAUGGUGUGCUUGUCUGAUGGACAGGGCAGCUUAGGGGAAUAAGUCUCUGCAGCGUUGUAGUGAAGAGAGAAUACGGGACAACUGCAGGACCACAGCUCAGCCAAGACACAACCACAUGACUGAAGACAGAGAUCAUCUGGGUCAGUGUUUCAGAAAAUGUUGCCAAGAAACUUCAAAUGCAGAUUCCUGGACCUCCGUGCAAACUACUAUAUUAGAAGUGAGAGUGGGGGUGAGAUGGAGGAGAGGUGAUAUUGAGAACCUGCAUUUUUUAAAACUUUUAUUUUAGUUUCAGGGGUACAUGUGAAGGUUUGUUAUAUAGGUAAGCUCAUGUCACGUGGGUUUGUUUUACAGAUUACUUCAUCACCCAUAUAUUAAGCCUAGUACCGAAUAGUUCCUUUUUCUGCUCCUCUCCCUCCUUCAACCCUCCAUGCUCAAACAGACCCCAGUGUCUGUUGUUCCCUUUAUGUUCAUGAGUUCUCAUCAUUUAUCUCUCACUUAUAAGUGAGAACAUGUAGUAUUUGGUUUUCUGUUCCUCU